rnacentral:tRNA from 1 species
GGGUAUAGCUCAGCCGGUAGAGUCGCGGUCUCCAAAACCGUUGGUCGUGGGUUCAAGUCCUACUGCCC